rnacentral:misc_RNA from 1 species
CCGAGCAGCGGCCCGCGAGGGUCGACGACUCCCGUCCUCUGCCUUCAGGAUGCCACGCUUCGCUUCGGCGGGGGAACCCGCCGGCGGACGUUUUAAAACGCCUGUUCUAACGGUGCAGUCCGAGGCGAAAUAAAUAAGACCA